AGGGUUUGAUCAUGGCUCAGAACGUACGCUGGCGGCACGCCUAACACAUGCAAGUCGAACGAAGUAGCAAUACUUAGUGGCAGACGGGUGAGUAACAUGUAGGUAUCUACCCUUUGGCCUGGAAUAACACGAGGAAACUUGUGCUAAUACCGGAUAAGUCUUUACGGAGAAAGCUUUAUGCACCAUUGGAUGAGCCUGCACUUGAUUAGUUUGUUGGUAGGGUAAUGGCCUACCAAGACUGUGAUCAAUAGCUGAUUUGAGAGGAUGAUCAGCCACAUUGGGACUGAGACACGGCCCAAACUCCUACGGGAGGCAGCAGUGGGGAAUCUUGCACAAUGGAGGAAACUCUGAUGCAGCGAUGCCGCGUGAGUGAAGAAGGCCUUUGGGUUGUAAAGCUCUUUCGUCGGGGAAGAAAAUGACUGUACCCGAAUAAGAAGGUCCGGCUAACUUCGUGCCAGCAGCCGCGGUAAUACGAAGGGACCUAGCGUAGUUCGGAAUUACUGGGCUUAAAGAGUUCGUAGGUGGUUGAAAAAGUUGGUGGUGAAAUCCCAGAGCUUAACUCUGGAACUGCCAUCAAAACUUUUCAGCUGGAGUUUGAUAGAGGAAAGCAGAAUUUCUAGUGUAGAGGUGAAAUUCGUAGAUAUUAGAAAGAAUACCAAUUGCGAAGGCAGCUUUCUGGAUCAUUACUGACACUGAGGAACGAAAGCAUGGGUAGCGAAGAGGAUUAGAUACCCUCGUAGUCCAUGCCGUAAACGAUGUGUGUUAGACGUUGGAAAUUUAUUUUCAGUGUCGCAGCGAAAGCGAUAAACACACCGCCUGGGGAGUACGACCGCAAGGUUAAAACUCAAAUGAAUUGACGGGGACCCGCACAAGUAGUGGAGCAUGUGGUUUAAUUCGAAGAUACGCGCAGAACCUUACCAACACUUGACAUGUUCGUCGCGACUCUAAGAGAUUAGAGUUUUCGGUUCGGCCGGACGAAACACAGGUGCUGCAUGGCUGUCGUCAGCUCGUGUCGUGAGAUGUUGGGUUAAGUCCCGCAACGAGCGCAACCCUCACUUUUAGUUGCCAUCAUUUAGUUGGGCACUCUGAAAGAACUGCCAGUGAUAAGCUGGAGGAAGGUGGGGAUGACGUCAAGUCCUCAUGGCCCUUACGUGUUGGGCUACACACGUGCUACAAUGGUAUUUACAACAGGAAGCAAAACGGCGACGUUAAGCAAAUCCUCAAAAGAUACCUCAGUUCGGAUUGCACUCUGCAACUCGAGUGCAUGAAGCUGGAAUUACUAGUAAUCGUGGAUCAGCGUGCCACGGUGAAUGCGUUCCCGGGUCUUGUACACACCGCCCGUCACACCAUGGGAGUUGGUUCUACCUUAAGGCAAGGUUUUAAACCCUUGACCACGGUAUAGUCAGCGACUGGGGUGAAGUCGUAACAAGGUAACCGUA
rnacentral:rRNA from 1 species